AUGGAGGUGGUGGUGCGCACGGUGCCCGGCGUCCGGAGCUGCUUCGUCGCGCUCCCCCUCCCCGUCAUCCAAGCCCUCGAGCGCACCGCCGCCGGCGGCUCCCUCCCCGCGGUCCUCGCCCUCGAGCUGCACGGCCCCGACAGGGCGCGCUGGCGUCUCGCCUGGGCAGGCGCCGUCUCCGCCUCCGCCUCCCCAGAUGCCGUCGAGGUUUCCCAACAAUUUGCUGCAUGCAUUUCGCUACCUGACAAUACGAAAGCAUCACUGAGUGCUGUUUCUGUGUUGCCAAAAGCCAAAUUUGUAUCUGUGGAGCCAAUAAGUGAGGAGGACUGGGAAGUAUUGGAGCUUAACUCAGAGUUGGCAGAAGAGGCCAUUUUGAAACAGGUUGGUAUUGUUUAUGAUGGUAUGAAAUUUCCCUUAUGGUUGCACGGUGAUAAUGUAGUGGAAUUUCUUGUUAUUUCAGCAUCACCUAGUAACUCAAUAGUUCAACUUGUUCCUGGAACUGAAGUUGCUGUUGCACCAAAGAAACGAAAAGGCGAUGCAUAUUCUAUCGAGUGUGCCCCUAAACAAGAUUUACUCAAAGCACAGCCCCAUAAAAAGGCACUCCUCCGUGUUCAGGAAGCAGGAGGGAAAUAUGUAGAUCGAUUUGAAUAUAACGGAAUUCAACUGGGUGUGUUUGUUACAUAUGCUGUACAGAUUCACCCAGAUAAUGCUGUAAAAUUGUCUCUCGGUAAUCUUCAGUUGGUGAGUAUCACCCCUAAAUUCUCUCCAAAGGAUAGUACAGAAAAUGGAAAAGGAUCUGAUCAGCAGAUCAAGGGUUCAGUGCCUGGUAUGAAGAGGAAUAGUCACAUUGUCGUCCACAUCAUAUUAUCAGAUUCUGUUGCUAAAGAGCAUAUUAUGCUUCCUCAAUCCAUCCGCUGUUACAUUGGAACAUGUGUUCAUUCAUGGGUUUAUGUGCAGAGAUUCUCACCCGCUGUAAAUAAGAGUACACCGUCAAUAACAAUUCAUCCACUCCACUUUAAGAUGCCGGAGAGAAAUUCUGAUGAUAACAGUGCAUUAGACUGUCAAGAACAGGAUAUUUACCCAACGGUGGGUGAGAUAUCUUUAGCUGAUGAUCCUCCCACGGACAAUAACAUCAACAUGUUGCGUGGGUUUAAUGAUAUUACUGCAGUUGCAAAUUGGGAGGAAAGUGUUAAGUUAAAACAGGAGAGGUCUUUCAUCAGAUCAUGGCUUAUUGGGCAGCUCAAGGGACUCUCCUCUCAGAUUGCCCAACCUGAACUAAACACAGUGCUUCUGCCAUCUGAAACAUUACUUCACUUUCAAGUGAUUGAUCAAACAAGAGGCAGUCCUGUUGACCUCAUUUACCUCUUGACGACUACCUCUGAUUUUGGUGUUAAUCACAAGAAAAUUGAACUUGGCAUGGCAACUGAGUUUGAUAUUGAUAACUUUGAAGAGGCUCUUCAGAAAUUGGAGUUGAAUAAGGCUAUAUCCCUUGAUUCAACAAUGGAACGAGCAAGGAAAAUCUCUGACAGAGGGUUAAGUGUGGUUUUGUCUUCAGCAUCUCUAAAAUUAUUGAGUAGAAUAAAGUGUCCCUAUCCAGGAAAUGUUCUUGUAUAUGGCCCUCCAGGUUCUGGGAAAACAACCUUAUGCAAAGCUGUUGCAAGACACUUUGAAGAGCAUAAAGAAAUUCUGGCUCAUGUGGUUUAUGUAGACUGCUCAAAGCUAGCUACUGAGAAGAAUAAGAAGCAGCUCCAGCAAAUUGCAGACUAUAUCUAUGAAGCUAUUGUUCACUCCCCUUCAAUUGUAAUAUUCGAUGAUCUGGACAGUCUAAUUUCAUUCUCCCCGGACAACCUAAAAUCUCAGUCGUCCAAUUCUAGUGCUAUUGUGAAAUAUUUGAUAGACAUGCUAGAUGAGUACAGAGAUAAAAGUCAUGGCAUGUGUGGGUAUGGACCUGUUGCAUUUCUGGCUUCAGCUAAGUCACUUAAGUGUCUUCCUCAAGAGUUGACUUCCUCAGGGAGAUUUGAUCUUCAUGUCCAAGUUCCUGGUUUGUCUGCGCCUGCUCGUAUAGAGAUACUGAGGCAGACAAUUGUCAAGCUUCACUUACUAUGUACUGCGGAAAUCAUCAGCAACAUUGCUUCGAAAUGUGAUGGUUAUGAUGCAUAUGAUUUGGGAAUUUUGGUUGAUAACACUGUGCUUGCUGCUUCGGAUCGUUUGCUUGGGUCUUCUACUGUAAAUCUGGUGGAGGAAGACUUCCUGAAAGCCAUGAGGAACUUUUCUCCUGUUGCGAUGCGUGAUAUUAGUAAAUUUUCGCCUGAAAUUAGCAAUGGAUGGGAAGAUGUCGGAGGACUUUCCGAAGUUGUAAAUGUUAUUAAAGAGACUAUUGAAUUGCCACUAAAAUAUCCGAAGUUUUCUGCUGGGGCUCCUGUAAGGUUGCGAUCGAACAUCCUCCUGUAUGGCCCAACAGGCUGUGGCAAAACCCAUGUUGUGAAAUCUGUAGCUGCUGCGUAUUCUUUACGGUUCAUUCCAAUCAAGGGGCCAGAAUUGAUGAAUAUGUACAUUGGUUCUACUGAGCAAUAUGUUCGUGAUACGUUUGCAAAGGCAGCUGCUGCGUUACCUUGUUUACUUUUCUUUGACGAAUUCGAGUCUCUUGUACCACAGCGAGGAAAACAUGGUACACAAGUUACUGACCGUGUUGUCAACCAGUUUUUGACGGAAUUAGAUGGUGUAGAAGCUCUGACGGGAGUAUUUGUAUUUGCUGCCACCAACAAGCCGCGCGAAAUUGAUGCUGCACUAUUACGACCUGGAAGAUUUGAUCGGCUUGUAUUUUGCGACUUCCCGCAAUGGAAUGAACGUCUGGACAUUCUCAGGGUGCUCUCAAAGGAGCUUCCUCUGGCAAGCGAUGCCGAUCUUGAACUUGUCGCAUCAAUGACGGAAGGGUUCAGCGGUGCUGAUCUCAAAGCUAUACUCACGGACGCUGGGCUGGAAGCCGCCAAGGAGGCUGUGCGAUGCCAACCAGGAGACGGUAGUGGUGAUAUCCCGCAAGAGCUGCCUCUUAUCACCAGUGGAACUCUCAUGUCUGUUGCUUCAGAGGCUAGACCAUCGACCUCGGAGGAGGAUAGGAGGAGCUUGAGGGAGAUGUUCAGCCAAUUCUCAACUUCUAGGAAGUCUUCGAUUUCCACCGAGAGAAGGGAAGCAAAUGGCCAGGGCCAGAGAGUAGCUGUAGCCGAGUCAUGA
rnacentral:rRNA from 1 species